rnacentral:rRNA from 1 species
UAAAGGUUUCUUCGGAAACCUUGGCGGACUGCUCAGUAACACGUGGAUAACCUACCCUUGGGACUGGAAUAACCCCGGGAAACUGGGGAUAAUACCGGAUAGAUCAGGGAUGCUGGAAUGCGCCUUGAUCUAAAGCUCCGGCGCCCAAGGAUGGGUCUGCGGCCUAUCAGGUAGUAGUGGGUGUAACGUACCUACUAGCCAACGACGGGUACGGGUUGUGAGAGCAAGAGCCCGGAGAUGGAUUCUGAGACACGAAUCCAGGCCCUACGGGGUGCAGCAGGCGCGAAACCUUUACAAUGUGCGAAAGCAUGAUAAGGGAACUCCGAGUGCCAGUAUCUAAUACUGGCUGUCCUUGUGUCUAAAACGCACAAGAUAGCAAGGGCCGGGUAAGACCGGUGCCAGCCGCCGCGGUAACACCGGCGGCCCGAGUGGUAGCCGCUAUUAUUGGGUCUAAAGGGUCCGUAGCCGGUUCCAUAAGUCCUCUGGGAAAUCUGGUUGCUUAACAAUCAGACUGCCAAGGGAUACUGUCGAACUUGAGACCGGGAGAGGUAAGAGGUACUUCAGGGGUAGGAGUGAAAUCUUGUAAUCCCUGGGGGACCAUCUGUGGCGAAGGCGUCUUACCAGAACGGGUCUGACGGUGAGGGACGAAGCUGGGGGCGCAAACCGGAUUAGAUACCCGGGUAGUCCCAGCCGUAAACGAUGCUCGCUAUGUGUCAGGUACGGUGUGACCGUAUCUGGUGCCGUAGGGAAGCCGUGAAGCGAGCCACCUGGGAAGUACGGUCGCAAGACUGAAACUUAAAGGAAUUGGCGGGGGAGCACUACAACGGGUGGAGCCCGCGGUUUAAUUGGAUUCAACGCCGGA